rnacentral:tRNA from 1 species
AGGGAUGUAGCUCAGUGGUAGAGCAGUUGCCUAGAGUGCAUGAGGCCCUGGGUUCCAUCCCUA